GGGCACCAUAUGAUUGUAGCCAUCUGCAGGAAGCCAAGCCAUGACUAUGCAUGAUAACCAUCUUCAUGCUAGCCAACAAUGUAAUAUAGACAAAGGACUAGUACUUUCACUUAGAAUUGUAAGCCAAUUAUGACUUGUCAUUUGCAAAGCAAGCAAAUAUUGUCAAAGAGUGUAGCUUUCUCAGUUGGCAGGAAGCAGGAAGUGUUCCAAAACUUCAGGACUCUUCUUUUAUUUAUACUUACAAGCUUUACAACACCUUCACUUGCUAAGUUUUGGCCAAAAAAUUGAAUUUUUUAGAACAACUAUGGAGGGCAAGGAGGAAAAAUCAGCUCCAUCAACUAAUGAGGAUCAUGGUAUCAACUACAAAGGAGUUAAAGCCAUGCCAUUUAUAGUAGGAAAUGAAGCCUUUGAGAAGCUAGGGACUAUUGGUACUCUAGCAAACCUGUUGGUCUAUCUCACAACUGUUUUCAAUAUGAAGAACAUAACAGCUACUUUGCUCGUUAAUUUCUUCAAUGGCACCUCAAAUGUGGCUCCAUUAGUAGGUGCCUUCCUUUCAGACACUUACUUUGGACGUUACAACACUUUGGCCUUUGCUUCCAUCUGUUCUCUUUUGGGAAUGACUGCACUAACUCUCACAGCAGCAAUCUACAAAUUACACCCUCCAAAAUGUGAGGUGAAGGAGAGUGGCAAAUGUGUUGGGCCUACGGCUUGGCAGUUUGCCUUUCUACUAAGUGGGUUUGGAUUUCUAGUCCUUGGAGCUGGAGGUAUCAGACCUUGCAACCUAGCCUUUGGAGCAGACCAGUUCAAUCCGGCUACUAAAUCUGGCAAGCAGGGCAUUAAUAGCUUCUUCAAUUGGUACUAUUUCACCUUCACAUUUGCUAUGAUGAUAUCCGCAACCUUCAUUGUCUAUAUCCAAUCAAAUAUAAGCUGGGGUAUAGGUUUGGCCAUUCCUGCUUUUUUAAUGUUCAUGUCCUGUGCACUUUUCUUCGUGGGUUCAAAACUUUAUGUCAAAGUGAAACCUCAAGGCAGCCCUAUAACUAGUGUGGUACAAGUGCUAGUCGCUGCUGCCAAGAAGCGAAAGUUAAAUCUGCCUGACAACCCUGCACUUUCCCUUUUCAACUAUAUUCCAAUCAAUUCUAUCAAUUCCAGGCUUGUCUACACAGAUCAAUUCAGGUAACAGAAAACCCAUAUUUUUCUGUUAGCUUUUGAUGCAGUGAUUCUUGCUUUUACAUUUUUAAUUAGAGAUCAAAUUUGGAUUCAUUUAAUCGGUUGAAAUUGUUGAAGAUAUUAAACUAUUAUUUGGUUUCACCUGCAAGCUCGAGUUAUUAAACCACUUGUCUUUGCUAACAAGAAAAUUGCAACAGGUGGCUUUCCAAAUCUGCAAUUUUAACUAGUGAAGACCAACUAAAUUCAGAUGGAUCAGCUGCCAAUCCAUGGAAACUCUGCAGUAUCCAACAAGUAGAAGAAGCCAAAUGUGUACUGAGAGUGAUCCCAAUAUGGUCAUCAGCCAUAAUUUACUUUGUUGCAAUAAUUCAGCAACAAACUUAUGUUGUUCUGCAAGCACUUCAAUCAGAUAGAAGACUCGGAAAUAAUGGCUUUCAGGUGCCUGCUGCUUCAUUCAUAGUCUUUUCAAUGGUAAGCCUGACCAUUUGGAUUCCUAUCUACGACCGAAUUCUGGUUCCCUCUUUUCGAAAGCUCACCCAUAUAGAAAGUGGAAUAACAAGUCUCCAGAGAAUGGGAAUUGGAAUUGUUCUCUCAGUUCUUACAAUGCUGGUUUCUGCUGUGGUGGAAGAGCGAAGGCGGCAUUUGGCACUUACCAGGUUAACACUAGGCAUUGCACCUAAAGGAGGAGCAAUAUCAUCUAUGUCUGCUUUAUGGCUAGUUCCUCAACUAACAAUUGCAGGAAUAACUGAGGCCUUCAAUUCGAUUGGCCAGAUAGAGUUCUACUACAAGCAGUUCCCUGAAAAUAUGAGAAGUGUAGCUGGUUCUUUCUUGUUUCUUGGGCUUGCAGGUUCUAGUUAUGUGAGUAGUUUUCUUAUUUCAGUAGUGCAUCAUAUCACAGCAACAUCUCAAGGUGGGGAUUGGCUGUCUGAGGAUCUUAACAAGGGGAAAUUGGAUUUGUUUUAUUACUUGAUUGCUGCUUUAGGAGUUCUCAACUUUGGCUAUUUCCUAGUGUUUGCCAAGUGGUAUAGAUAUAAAGGUUGCAAUGACAGCAGCUCUGAGUUGAGCAUAGAAGUAAAGCAGCAGUCUCAGAAGCACCUUGUUUAAGAUCAUAGAACAGCAUACAUAAAUAAGGAAGCUAAGCUAUAAUUAUCAAUGAACAUUAUAUAGCUAGUGCUGUCCAAUGUAAGUAGAGAUCAGUUGGUCAAUACCUUACAUGUAUAUCAUCAUCAUCAUCGCCAUCAUAUUAAUUACAGCGCAUAUUAUGAGUUUAACUUAAUAAUAC
rnacentral:misc_RNA from 1 species